AUUAUACAGCGAAACUGCGAAUGGCUCAUUAAAUCAGUUAUCGUUUAUUUGAUAGUACCUUACUACUUGGAUAACCGUGGUAAUUCUAGAGCUAAUACAUGCUAAAAACCCCGACUCACGAAGGGGUGUAUUUAUUAGAUUAAAAACCAAUGCCCUUCGGGGCUCUUUGGUGAUUCAUAAUAACUUUUCGAAUCGCAUGGCCUUGCGCCGGCGAUGGUUCAUUCAAAUUUCUGCCCUAUCAACUUUCGAUGGCAGGGUCUUGGCCUGCCAUGGUUACAACGGGUAACGGAGGGUUA
rnacentral:rRNA from 1 species